rnacentral:rRNA from 1 species
UACGUAGGGGGCGAGCGUUGUCCGGAUUUAUUGGGCGUAAAGAGCGUGUAGGCGGCCAGGUAGGUCUGCUGUGAAAACUCGAGGCUCAACCUCGAGACGUCGGCGGAAACCAUCUGGCUAGAGUCCGGAAGAGGAGAGUGGAAUUCCUGGUGUAGCGGUGAAAUGCGCAGAUAUCAGGAAGAACACCCGUGGCGAAGGCGGCUCUCUGGGACGGUACUGACGCUGAGGCACGAAAGCGUGGGGAGCGAACGGG